GACGAACGCUGGCGGCGUGCUUAACACAUGCAAGUCGAACGGAAAGGCCCUGCUUUUGUGGGGUGCUCGAGUGGCGAACGGGUGAGUAACACGUGAGUAACCUGCCCUUGACUUUGGGAUAACUUCAGGAAACUGGGGCUAAUACCGGAUAGGAGCUCCUGCUGCAUGGUGGGGGUUGGAAAGUUUCGGCGGUUGGGGAUGGACUCGCGGCUUAUCAGCUUGCUGGUGGGGUAGUGGCAUACCCAGGCUUUGACGGGUAGCCCGCCUGAGAGGGUGGCCGGCCACAUUGGGACUGAGAUACGGCCCAGACUCCAACGGGAGGCAACAGGGGGGAAUAUUACACAAUGGGCCGGAGCCUGAGGCAGAAACGUCGCGUGCGGGAUGACGGCCUGCGGGUUGUAAACCGCUUUCGCCUGUGACGAAGCGUGAGUGACGGUAAUGGGUAAAGAAGCACCGGCUAACUACGUG
rnacentral:rRNA from 1 species